UACGAAGGGGGCUAGCGUUACUCGGAUUGACUGGGCGUAAAGGGCGCGUAGGCGGUUUGUACAGUCAGACGUGAAUUCCUGGCUCAACCUGGGGGCUGCGUUUGAUACGUAUGGACUUGAGUUCGGAAGGAGGUCGUGGAAUUCCCAGUGUAGAGGUGAAAUUCGUAGAUAUUAGGAAGAACACCAGUGGCGAAGGCGGCUCACUGGCCCGGAACUGACGCUGAUGUACGAAAGCGUGGGGAGCAAACAGG
rnacentral:rRNA from 1 species